UAGUCCACGCCGUAAACGAUGGUCACUAGCUGUUCGGACUUCGGUCUGAGUGGCUAAGCGAAAGUGAUAAGUGACCCACCUGGGGAGUACGUUCGCAAGAAUGAAACUCAAAGGAAUUGACGGGGGCCCGCACAAGCGGUGGAGCAUGUGGUUUAAUUCGAUGAUACGCGAGGAACCUUACCAGGGCUUAAAUGUAGUAUGACAGGUUUAGAGAUAGACUUUUCUUCGGACAUAUUACAAGGUGCUGCAUGGUUGUCGUCAGCUCGUGCCGUGAGGUGUCAGGUUAAGUCCUAUAACGAGCGCAACCCCUACCGUUAGUUGCCAGCAUGUUAUGAUGGGGACUCUAGCGGGACUGCCGGUACAAACCGAGAGGAAGGUGGGGAUGACGUCAAAUCAUCACGGGCCCUUACGUCCUGGGGCUACACACGUGCUACAAUGGUCGGUACAGAGGGGCAGCUACCCAGUGAUGGGGAU
rnacentral:rRNA from 1 species